rnacentral:misc_RNA from 1 species
GCCUGGUGAGCCUUGAGCCUGAGGAGCGCUUUUAAUAAUUAUGGUCUUAUCAUUAACAAAGAAUUUCCAGGAAACACGCACAAGUAGAAAUUAAAGGAAGGACAAGUCCAAAAUUGAUGAUCAUUUGAACAUGAAAUACCCGCAUAAGCAUCUUAAAACCAUGAUUUUGUUUGGAUUAUAUUCAAUAAUUCAGCUAAGAAAAAAACAUUGCAUGAUCCAAGAAAAGACAUCAACCUAAGUUGAAAACAAUUUGAUCAACAAGCUUAAGCAUAGGUCCCCCACCAUCUCCAUCCCCACAACAAGUUAAAGAACAACCAUGAAAGCAGCAUUCUCCAGGGACCAUCUGAGGACUUCUCAACCAAAAAAUUUCCAUGUAAUAGAAGUUAACAAGACAGCUAAGAAAGUAACAUUCUUGAGGAGAUAUCAUCUGAAAAUGUCCUCAAUAAAGAAUAUUACUUCAGGGAAAAUAGAGCCCUUGUGAUACAGCUUAAAGCCACAAUAAUUAAUCAACCAAAUAGUGGGUCAUGUAAAGCAAUAUAUUCCCCAAAAAACAAGAAGUGAUUAUAAAUAACGACAGAAAUUUUGAUUAAAGAAUAUGCUAAAAAAAAAGAAUAAUAA